ACGUGACCGCAGCUACUGAAGCCUGCGAGCCCUAGAGCCCAUGCUCUGCAACGAGAGAAGCCCUCGCAAUGAGAACCCUGCCCACCACAACUAGAGAAUCUGGUUCAAUCCCUGUUUGGGGAACUAAGAACCCACCAGCCUCGAGAAGCAGCAAAAAAAAAAAAAAAUCCUGCCUGAUACUGGGUAUAUGAAAGUCGGCUGGCAGGAAACAGAGGGCCACCCAGGAAGCCCGCUUCCUCACAGGAGCUCCAGAGCCUGCAGAUGCCCUUCAGGUGGAUGUGUGGGACUCACAGAAUCUAGACCUCGAGGAUCAGAAGAGCCCGGUGCCCUGCGUUCUCCUGCUCAACACGGUGAGCAUCCCCUGCCCGGACCCACACUUUUCCCAGCAGGACCUGGCACUGGUUCUGGUUUCUCUCUCUCCAUGGCCACAUGAAGAGGCUGUAGAAGCCACCCAGUCACCAUUUCACAGAUGACAUAUGGAGUUGGGGACUUGCCCAGUAGCACAGAGCCAAUCAGUGCAGAGCCAGGACUCAGCCCUCCGUCACCUGCCCACGCUCCAUCCAGGACUUUGUGUGUGUCAUCGUUGUCAGCCGUGGCCAUUUUGUGGUGCACCUACUGUGUGCAGCAGAAAAGAACACAGAGCAUCUCAGGAAGGGUUGUGGAAUUCAGAAGAUGCUAGUGUGUUUAGUGGGGCGAGGGGGACAGGUUGGGGAGGAGUGGGAAAGGACUCAUGGAGAUAGGCUGAUUCUCAGCUUGGACAGAAGUAGGGAGGGAAUGGCCCAGGGCAUCAAGAUAACAGGGACUUCCCUGGUGGUCCAGUGGCUAAGACUCCAUGCUCCCAAGGCAGGGGUCCCGGGUUCGAUCCCUGGUCAGGGAACUAGAUCCCACAUGCCACAUGCAACUGAGAAUUCACGUACUGCA
ensembl:lncRNA